rnacentral:rRNA from 1 species
AUGUCACGUUGUGUUUGGGCAUUACUUGAUGAAUCCCUCAUAGAGCACAUGUGCAUGAAUUCUUGCUCGGAUGCGAAGGAGUGGCUGUUCCACAUGAUGGAGACUACAACACAUGAAGAAUUCAUCAAAAUUUUAUUGACACUUUGGGCGAUCUGGGGUGCGCGCGGAAAGGCAAUUCAUGAAUCUAUCUACCAAAGCCCGGUGAUUAUUCAUGGUUUUGUUACCAGUCUCAUUGCCGACCUUCAAAUGGUGAACACAAAACUGGAUAAAGCUGCUCCAAAUCUACAAGCAGCAGCGCCGAGAUGGAGGCCACCGCCGGAGGGCUGGGCCAAAAUUUAUGUUGAUGGUGGUACAAACAAGAUAGGAUCAAAGGGAGCAGCUGCCGUCAUAUGCAGGAAUGAUACAGGGAAGUACCUGGGGUCUUCAGCGAGGGUAUUGAACAAUUGCACCGACCCAGCAACUCUUGAAGCAAUAGCAUGCUGUGAAGCGCUGACUUUGGCGGAGGAUUUAAACAUUCAGAAAGUUAUUAUCGCAUGUGAUGCUUCCACAGUUAUCAAGAACAUCAAUGAAGGUAGUAGAUGCGAGUAUAGCUCGGUUCUUACGGAGAUUAAGGUGCGAUCGAGACAUUUUCUUAAUGUUAAUUUUGUGCACGAGGGUAGAGCAACAAACAUAGAAGCU